AACGCAUAUUGCGCCCCUUGGUAUUCCGGAGGGCACACCUGUUCGAGCGCCAUUUCAACCCUCAAGUUUUAGCUUGGUGUUGGAUGAGGUCCCUUUCUAGGACCCUCCCGUAACCCGUAGGCGGUUAUCAUCCGUACUCCCCUAGCGUAGCAGGCUCACGCACUCGCUCGGGGAUGGGAUGAGACCGUGCCUUUACAACCUUUUCAAAGGUUUGGCCUCGAAUCAGGUGGGGAUACCCGCUGAACUUAA
rnacentral:misc_RNA from 1 species